UACGUAUGGAGCAAGCGUUAUCCGGAAUUACUGGGUGUAAAGGGAGCGUAGACGGAUGUGCAAGUCUGAUGUGAAAGGCGGGGGCUCAACCCCUGGACUGCAUUGGAAACUGUAAAUCUUGAGUGCCGGAGAGGUAAGCGGAAUUCCUAGUGUAGCGGUGAAAUGCGUAGAUAUUAGGAGGAACACCAGUGGCGAAGGCGGCUUGCUGGACGGUAACUGACGUUGAGGCUCGAAAGCGUGGGGAGCAAACAGG
rnacentral:rRNA from 1 species